GGGACUCUGUGUGUGUGUGUGAAUCAUAGCAAACACUGAAAGGCAUUUCUUGGACGCAGUAAUGAGUUUUGUUUGCUCAAAAUAAUUUCCCCCUCAAAAUGCAACAUUUGUUCUUGCAACAAUUAUUUUACACGCACAAACAGAAACGACAGUAUAGAAACAGCAGAUGGCGCUGCAGGCGCGGGGGAGGGUUUCCAUCCGGGUCAACUGUCGUGGCCGUUUAGCACAGCGUCGCUGCUGGUGAGCAGGUGACUGAUCUUCAGUUCCAGCAUUAGAUUUGAUCAUCCAUGCAGGAAAUCAGUUUCCAUCAUGAGACUGUGCUGUCAGAUGUUCACAUGCUCCGUCCCGGUGGACGCCACCUUAUGACACACCUCAACAACGUUGGUCAACCUGUCUUCAUGUCUAGGUUUGUGAUCCUGGCAGAAAGAUGUGACGAGCCAGGGAGUGACUUAAAACAUGAAAGUGAAACCAGCCAAACAGUCAAACAAGCCACUGAAGAACCUGAUGGAGAGGACAGAAAAGUAGAGUCGCUCUUGGAUUUCGAUGGAGAUCUUGACAUAAU